AAAGGAAUAGACGGGGACCCGCACAAGCGGUGGAUGAUGUGGAUUAAUUCGAUGCAACGCGAAAAACCUUACCUACCCUUGACAUGGCAGGAAUCCCGAAGAGAUUUGGGAGUGCUCGCAAGAGAACCUGCACACAGGUGCUGCAUGGCUGUCGUCAGCUCGUGUCGUGAGAUGUUGGGUUAAGUCCCGCAACGAGCGCAACCCUUGUCAUUAGUUGCUACGAAAGGGCACUCUAAUGAGACUGCCGGUGACAAACCGGAGGAAGGUGGGGAUGACGUCAAGUCCUCAUGGCCCUUAUGGGUAGGGCUUCACACGUCAUACAAUGGUACAUACAGAGGGCCGCCAACCCGCGAGGGGGAGCUAAUCCCAGAAAGUGUAUCGUAGUCCGGAUUGUAGUCUGCAACUCGACUACAUGAAGUUGGAAUCGCUAGUAAUCGCGGAUCAGCAUGUCGCGGUGAAUACGUUCCCGGGUCUUGUACACACCGCCCGU
rnacentral:rRNA from 1 species